UUGCCAAGAAUGUUCCCGUUAAUCAAGAACGAAAGUUAGAGGUUCGAAGGCGAUCAGAUACCGCCCUAGUUCUAACCAUAAACGAUGCCAGCCAGCGAUCCGCCGAAGUUCCUCCGAUGACUCGGCGGGCAGCUUCCGGGAAACCAAAGCUUUUGGGUUCCGGGGGAAGUAUGGUUGCAAAGCUGAAACUUAAAGGAAUUGACGGAAGGGCACCACCAGGAGUGGAGCCUGCGGCUUAAUUUGACUCAACACGGGAAACCUCACCAGGCCCGGACACCGGAAGGAUUGACAGAUUGAGAGCUCUUUCUUGAUUCGGUGGGUGGUGGUGCAUGGCCGUUCUUAGUUGGUGGAGCGAUUUGUCUGGUUAAUUCCGGUAACGAACGAGACUCUAGCCUGCUAAAUAGACGAUUUCCGGUAUCCACAAUAGUGCUACCGGCGAAAUCAAUAUCUUCUUAGAGGGACAGGCGGCUUUCAGCCGCACGAAACUGAGCAAUAACAGGUCUGUGAUGCCCUUAGAUGUCCUGGGCCGCACGCGCGCUACACUGAAGGAAUCAGCGUGUAUACCCUGGCCGAAAGGCUCGGGCAACCCGUUGAACCUCCUUCGUGCUAGGGAUUGGGGCUUGCAAUUGUUCCCCAUGAACGAGGAAUUCCCAGUAAGCGCGAGUCAUAAGCUCGCGUUGAUUACGUCCCUGCCCUUUGUACACACCGCCCGUCGCUACUACCGAUUGAAUGAUUUAGUGAGGUCUUCGGACUGGUGCGCGGCGGCCGCCUGCGCGGCCGCCGAUGCCACCGGGAAGAUGACCGAAC
rnacentral:rRNA from 1 species